rnacentral:rRNA from 1 species
ACAGCCAUAUCACCCUGUAGCCUAAGACCAAUUACUUACUGAAGCUGCAGUAAUCAGGGCUAAGCCUGGUCAGUACCUAAAUGGGAAACCAGAUGGGAAAAUUAGGUUGCUGUUUAAA